rnacentral:rRNA from 1 species
AGCUGAAGAAAUACUUGUUGAUUGAGACUUAAAAAAAAAUGCAACAAGCCCGAUCCCGUCUGAUCUUGAAAGCGAAGCAGGAUUGGGCCUGGUUAGUACUUGGAUGGGAGACCACCUAGGAAGACCAGGUGCUGUAGGCG